UACUAGAGUAGCACUCGCAUAUCAAUAAGCGGAGGAAAAGAAACUAACAAGGAUUCCCCUAGUAACGGCGAGUGAAGCGGGAAGAGCUCAAAUUUGAAAUCUUAAAGGGUUUCCCUUUACGAAUUGUAGUUUAAAGAAGUGUUUUCUGUUGAGGUUUUGGUAAAAGUUCUUUGGAAUAGGACAUCAUAGAGGGUGAGAAUCCCGUAUUUGACCUUUACUUUCAACUUUGUGAUACACUUUCAAAGAGUCGGAUUGUUUGGGAAUGCAGUCCAAAAUGGGUGGUAAAUUUCAUCUAAAGCUAAAUAUUGGCGAGAGACCGAUAGCGAACAAGUACCGUGAGGGAAAGAUGAAAAGAACUUUGAAAAGAGAGUUAAACAGUACGUGAAAUUGUCAAAAGGGAAGCGUUUGACACCAGUGUUGUUUUUCUGAAAAUCAAUUAAAGAACUGUUUAUGCUAAGCUGUUUAGACUUUAUCAGCUAUCUGUUUAGUUUUGAGCUUUUCUUUAAUGCACUUUUCAGUUAACAAGUCAACAUCAAUUUCUUUUGCUGUAAAAAAGCUUGAGGAAGGCGGCUUGAGAUUCGUCUUAAGUGUUUAUAGCCUCUUGCCUAUGCAGUCGGAGAGAUUGAGGUCUGCAGCGUAGAUCCUUCGGGGCUAAAUGCAUUUGUGCUAAGUUAUAGCAUUUUAUAGACAACUUGUUGACUAUGAUUUGUCUUGUAGCUUACUCGCUUAUGUUAUUUUACCUACGCUUAGGAUGUUGAGCGCAUGUCUCUCUC
rnacentral:rRNA from 1 species